AAACGAAUGUUUUUUGUGUCGAAUGGU
rnacentral:sRNA from 1 species